rnacentral:lncRNA from 1 species
AUGUCUGGUUCUCGUAAAGAGUUUGAUGUGAAACAGAUUUUGAAAAUCAGAUGGAGGUGGUUUGGCCAUCAAGCAUCAUCUAAUUCUUCAGUUGACAGCCAGCAAGGAGAAUUUUGGAACCGAGGACAGACCGGAGCAAACGGUGGGAGAAAGUUUUUAGAUCCAUGUAACCUACAAUUGCCUUUGGCUUCAAUUGGUUACCGAAGGUCCAGCCAACUGGAUUUUCAGAAUUCACCUUCUUGGCCAAUGGCAUCGACCUCUGAAGUCCCUGCAUUUGAGUUUACCGCAGAAGACUGUGCUGGUGCACAUUGGCUGGAUAGACCAGAAGUGGAUGAUGGCACUAGUGAAGAGGAAAAUGAAUCUGAUUCCAGCUCGAGCAGGACUUCCAAUAGCAGUCAGACACUGUCAUCCUGCCAUACUAUGGAGCCAUGUUCAUCAGAUGAAUUCUUUCAAGCCCUUAACCAUGCAGAGCAAACAUUUAAAAAAAUGGAAAACUACUUAAGACAUAAGCAACUGUGCGAUGUCAUUUUAGUCGCUGGCGAUCGUAGGAUUCCAGCUCACAGGCCGGCUGGAACUAAAAGAAGAUAACAUCGAGUGCCUGCUGUCUACAGCAUGCCUUCUCCAGCUUUCCCAGGUUGUGGAAGCAUGUUGUAAAUUUCUAAUGAAACAGCUCCACCCAUCCAAUUGCCUUGGAAUUCGUUCUUUUGCUGAUGCCCAAGGCUGCACUGAUUUGCAUAAAGUGGCCCACAAUUAUACUAUGGUAUGUAUUUUUUUGAAAAUCAGAAAGUUAUGUCCUCCUUGCCCCCAUUUCUUACCUUCGAAAUCGUAUCUACAUGUUGCUGGUUUCAUGUGGUUUUGCCACAAGUUUUGAGGUUCAAGUUCAUGAUGUAGUAUUAAGUUGGAAAAGGGAAACAAGCAGGAUGUCUCCUGAUGGACAAUUCUAAUGGCAGGUGUGAUGCUUUUAAGAGCAGCAUUUUCUAAACAUUCUACUGCCGCAUGUGGGUGAAUUUCUGAUCUAUAUCACUGGUGGAAUCUGGUGGCAGUGGUUGUACGUUUGGUACAGCACUAAGAUGAACAAUAAAAAGAUGAAUGGGAGACCUCCUAUUUCAGAUGCCUCUGGUUACACACAAGAAGUGCUUGCACUGUGUAGAAUAAUACUCUUAUUAAGUGCAAUGAAUUAUG